UUGUCUUUAAUCUUUUCAAAGUCACAGUAUAUAAAAUCAACAUGCAGAAACCUGUUUCAUUUCAAUACACCAAAAAUAAAGCAGCAGGAAAAAAAAUCAAGGAAUCUAUCCCAUUUGCAAUUGC